UACGAAGGGGGCUAGCGUUGCUCGGAAUUACUGGGCGUAAAGGGCGCGUAGGCGGACAGUUAAGUCAGAGGUGAAAGCCCAGGGCUCAACCCUGGAAUUGCCUUUGAUACUGGCUGUCUUGAGUACGGGAGAGGUGAGUGGAACUCCGAGUGUAGAGGUGAAAUUCGUAGAUAUUCGGAAGAACACCAGUGGCGAAGGCGACACACUGGCCCGUAACUGACGCUGAGGCGCGAAAGCGUGGGGAGCAAACAGGAUUAGAAACCCCGGUAGUCC
rnacentral:rRNA from 1 species